CCCAAGAGUUCAUAUCGACGGCGGUGUUUGGCACCUCGAUGUCGGCUCAUCACAUCCUGGGGCUGAAGUAGGUCCCAAGGGUAUGGCUGUUCGCCAUUUAAAGUGGUACGCGAGCUGGGUUUAGAACGUCGUGAGACAGUUCGGUCCCUAUCUGCCGUGGGCGUUGGAGAAUUGAGAGGGGCUGCUCCUAGUACGAGAGGACCGGAGUGGACGCAUCACUGGUGUACCAGUUGUCUCGCCAGAGGCAUUGCUGGGUAGCUAAAUGCGGAAGAGAUAAGUGCUGAAAGCAUCUAAGCACGAAACUUGCCUUGAGAUGAGUUCUCCCAGUCUAUAAGACUGUAAGGGUUGUUGGAGACUACGACGUAGAUAGGCUGGGUGUGUAAGCGGUGUGAGCCGUUGAGCUAACCAGUACUAAUUGCCCGAGAGGCUUAACUAUACAACGCUCAAGGGUUUUG
rnacentral:rRNA from 1 species